AGCACAUUCACCUGACAAGGAGCUGGCCGCAGCCUCCGCUGCCAAACGGUGACGGUGCUGGCUGGUGCCCCCAGGAGCUGUUCACCACCUCCCGGGCUAAUGGCGCUUGCUGCCUGGCACACAGCAGGUGACUACACUGCAUGGCUUAUAAAUGUGGCCUCUGCCAGGAAAUCCUGGGAAAGAGCCAGGGAGGUGACGUUUUAUCCACGAGCCUGCUAUGGCUUAGCCUAGCCCUCCCCUAACUGUGACCAAGCUCUGGAUGAGACACAGACAACUACUGAGGACCUGCAAAGUAAGGAGACUGCAGGGCGGAGGCGGAACUUGGAGGAGUGACCUGCCGUGGAGUUUCUGGUUUCCUCCUUGUGGCUUUGUCUGGAGGGCAAGCCCCACUCUCAGAUCCACAUGGCAACACAAGCAGCUAAAACGCAGAUAGAAACCCCAACCUGGGAAAAGGAGUCCUACAGUCUCACAGUGCCACCCAGCAGUGCCAACCCAGCAAAGGUCUUGAGAACCACACUGAGAGAGGUGGGGUUUGGGAUGAACCUGGCUGCUAAAGUGGAAACAGCAACGUUCCCCGAGGGCUAGGACAGCACCCAGAGUCCACACGGUGUGCUCAGACGUAAAACAAAAUUACUCAAUAGACACAAAACUAGGAAGGUGUGAUCAUCCUCAAGAGAACAGACAAUGCUCAGAUGCCAGCCCCAACUGACACAGAUGCCUACAGCAGCCGCGGUAACUGCUUUGCGAGUUGCACGCAUACACAGCACACGCACACACACCUCAGAAAGGAGCAUUAGAUGAAAUGAAUAAUAAACCUCACAGAGAGGUAGGAAAAAAAAUAAACAAAUGAGUAUUUUUGAACUAAAAGAAUAGAGUAUCUGCAAUUAAAAUUGUACUGAUGGACUCAAUAGCAGAAUGGAGACAAAGGAAAGCCAGCGAACGUGAAGACAGAUAAAUAGAAAAUAUCCACUCCGAAGAACGAAGAUAAAGAGGAAAAACAAGAACAAGCAUCACGGGCCAGCUGGGGUCGUAUCGAAAGGCCCAGCACAUACCUGGUUCCAGAAAGCAAGGAGGAGGUUGGGGCAGAAAGUUAUUUGAAGGAAUAUUGGCUGAAACAUCCCAAGUCUGGUGAAAUACAUAAAUGUAAGCAUUCAAGAAGCUCAGUGAACCCCAAAGAAGAUAAACAGAAAGGAAAAUAGACCCAGACAUAGCAUCAUCAAAUUGCUGAAAACUGAAGAAAACAUCUGGAAAGCAGCUAGAGAAAAACAACACAUUUCGUACACAAAAGCAGUGACUCCAGUGACUACAGAAUUCUUGCCAGAAACCACGGCAGCCAGGAGACAGCAGAACGAUGUCUUUAAUGCAUGAAAGGAAAGGUUUCUCCUUGCAAGGUGUUUGUUCAUUUCUUCCAAGUUGUGGAAUAUAUGGGCAGAAGAUUGGACACCAUCCCCCUCGACUCUUUUUUCCCAUCUGUAGGGUCUGCGGUGAUGUCCUUUUUAGCCUCCAUGUUUGUAAUGAGGGUCUCUUUGUUUUGGGGUCAGUCUGGCCAGCAGCUUAUCAAUUGUAUUGAUCUUUUCAAAGAAUCAGCUUGGGUUUCAUUUAUUUUCUCUAUUUUCUGUUUUUGUUUUUUGUUCAGCUGAUUUCCACCCUGAUCUUUAUUACCUUCUACUUUCCGCAUGCGUUUUGUAAUUUAUUUUUCCCUUACUAGUUUCUCCAGGUGAAAGCUCCUAUCAUAGUUGGCAAGGGUUUUCUGUAAAGGGCUAGAGAGUAAAUAUGUUUGGUUUUGUGAGCCACGUGGUGUCUGUUGCAACCACUCAACUGCUGUUGUAGCGUGAAAGCAGCAACAGAAAACACAUAAAAUACCAAGUUGUUCUCCAGCAUAACUUUAUUUUCAACAGCAAGAAGGGGCCAGACAUGGCCGGUGGGCUGUAGCUUGCUGGCUCUUGGCUUAGAGUGAUUUGUGAUCUCUUCCUUUUUUAUCGUUUCAGCAAUUACUGCUGUAAAAUCUAUCCUAAACACCAGUCAAUCUGCAUCCCACAAAUGUUGAUAUGUUGUUUUAAUUUCCAUUGAAUUCAAAAUAGUGUCUAAUUACCUCUGCAUUAACCCUGUGCUUCUGCGCUUUGACAUCUGGGGUGACCCAGGAGGGGCUCCCCCUCCAAGGGCUUCCCAGCAAGAUCACCCUUCAUAAGCAAAUCAAGGAUUCCAGAGCCCACACCCCAACCGCUCCCCAACUGGGCCACACUCUGGGCCAACGUCCCCCUGCCCUAAUCACCCCAGGGCCAGGAGCUACACCCAGACCAGCUGGCAUUAAUGCAACCAGCCAGUUCUCCACCUGUCCACCCCCUGGCCUGGUCCUUCCCACACCACGUUCCUCGCACCCUCUGCCUCCUGGCCUACCUGGUGCUUGCCCUGUGCCCCUUCACCGUGGUGAUGCGGCCAGCUCUGUCCUCUUGGGACCCGUGACAAAUCAUCUUUUUGAUGGUGGUUGUCUCCUGACCUGUGGGCCUCACCCUACCUGAAUAACAAUGAAAGUUACAUUUUAAAAAUACCAGGUCACCUCCUCUGUUGAUAUGUUGUUUUAAUUAACAACUUCUAAACAACUCAUGAGUUCUUUUGGUUUUUUUGAGAUGGAGUCUUGCUCUGUCAGCCUGGCUGGAGUGCAGUGGCACAAUCUCGGCUCACUGCAACCUCUGCCUCCUGGGUUCAAAUGAUUCUUGUGCCUCAGCCUCCCGAGUAGCUGGGAUUACAGGUGUGGGCCACCAUGACCAGCUAAUUUUUGUAUUUUUAGUAGAGACGGGAUUUCACCAUGUUGGUCAGGCUGGUCUCAAACUCCUAACCUCAAGUGAUCUGCCUGCCUCAGCCUCCCAAAGUGCUGGGAUUACAGGCGUGAGCCACGACGCCGGUCGCUCACGAGUUAUUUAGAAUUGAGUUGCUUAAUGUUUCAGGAUGUUCUGUAUUGGGUUCUCCUUUCAUUCUAAUUCUGGGAUAGUCAAGGAACACAAGUCUCAACAAAUCUUGAGAUUAUUCUUACUUUGUUCUCUGCACGACUUGAGUCUUUUAAGAUCUACUGAGACUUGUGCUGGGACCCAGCGCGGUCGGCCUUGGUCACUGCUCUGCGUGCCCUGGAGAAGCAUGCACCGCUGCUGGGGUGCAGUGUCUGGCACGUGCCAUGGUCCAGCUGGCCCCCGAUGUUCUGUGGGGGCAUUGCUCCCCAGCGUGUCCGGACAGGUUCUUGCUGAGCACCGGAACCCUGAACAUCCAGGGAAUGAGGCGUCAGACACAGUGGGGGAGCUCCAGCCAGCGAGCGCCUGCUCCCGCUCCGGGAAGCGCUCCUGGUCCAUGGCAUCACCGUCCUCAGGCGCAGUCAGGCCUGGGGAUGUUUCCUGCCACCGGAAGUGCCCUGAAGGUGUCCUGGUGGCCGCCGUGUGAAGGGAUGAUGUGACUGUGCACCACAGUCCCCAUUUCAGGAGCACGAUUCACCCCGGGACGCGGUCCUGAGACCGUCCCACUCUUUAGGGGCUGUGGGGGAUGGAGGAGGGGCUCAUGAGAGUCACCCAGACCCACAGUUCACCCUGCAUUUUCCCAGUGGUCCUGGGCAGGCCACACUCUCGGCCUCCAAGAACUCGCACCCCUCCCAUGACAGAGGAGCCUGGGAUCAGGGAGAGGGGAUCGUGUGCUCGGGGGCACCAGCCCCAUGAGAGGACCUGUGUGGGAGGUGUGUGGUCCUGGCACAGGGCCUGGAACUGCCAGGGCAAGGGAGGGGAAGGACACCCAGCACUACUCUGAUGUGCAAACCCUAGAGCUGCCUCGUGGCCACCCCGGGAGGAGAAGGAGGGAGUGUGCAGGGCUGGAAGGGCUGACAGCGCUUUAGACACCGUAACUCCACAUUUGUGUUUUUCAUGCUUGGAGCUUCUGUAGGAAGAUGGAGGUUGGCCAAAGUUUCAGUGACUAAAAGUGUGAAAUUCAUUUAAGUCCAUCAAACUCAAACUUGUGCAGGCACCAGGCAGUCACCCUUGAUGAAGGCAGCUGGCCAGGCAUAAGGGACACAAUCCGCAGAGCCAACGAGACCAGAAAUGAUGCUGGACCACAGAGCGCGUGGACAGUGAGGAGCGGUGAGGCCUGUGCAGAGGGCAGUAGCCAAGCCCAACACAGCUGAGUGCAGCCACGCACAGCCCAGCCACGCCACACCACGCCCAGUCACAUCCAGCCCAACACAGCUGAGUGCAGCCAUGCCCAGUCCAGCCACGCCACACCACACCCAGCCACACCCAGCCCAACAUAGCCAUGACCAACCACACCCAACCCAGCCCAGCCUAGCCACGCCCAGCCCAGCUCAGCCGUGUCCAGCCCAGCCACGCCCAACCCAACACAGCCACGCCCAGCCCUUGGAAGCCACACCCCACUCCCCACACCACACCUGAAUACAGGCCUAGUGUUACCAGAACUUCUAAUUUUCCAACAGAAAUGUGCAAUUGGGGUCAUUAUGUUCAGUUUCCCAGUUUUGAAUAUAGUUUCAACUAUCUUGACCAGCUCUACUGAGGAUUAUUUGACACAAUCAACUGCACAUGUAAAAGUGAUGAUUUGGAAAGCUUCGACCUAUGUGCACACCCACGAAACCCUUCCCAUGGUCCACGGUGAACCUCGUCACCCACAGCAUGUCCUCCUGCCUGUGUCCUCCCACCCCUGUCCCCAGGAACCACCGAUGUCACUACAGACAACUGCAUUUUGCAGAAUUCCAUAUGAACGAAGUCACAUGUAUACACGCCUUCUUUCACGCAGCAUAAUUAUUUUCACGUUUGAUUUUGUCAUGUGUUUCAAAAUUCCACUCCUUUUUAUUUCUGCGUUGUAUGGAUGCACCAUGAUUUGUUCAUCCAAUCACUUGUUGGUAGACAUUUUGGUUUUUCCCCCAGGUUUUUGCUAUCACAAAUAAAACUGCUAUGGACAGUCAUGCAUAA